UAGGAGGUAGUAUAGAGGAAGUACGGGGAUUUUUGAAGUCCCAGGUGUGGGUUCAAACCCCAUUUUUCUAG
rnacentral:tRNA from 1 species